rfam:Hordeum vulgare subsp. vulgare, WGS project CAJW01000000 data, contig: morex_contig_236155
UGGCGAUGAUGAUAAAACUUAGGCUUGUUUCUCAAAACAUUCGCAGUUGCCGCCUAAGAGCUUUCGCCCUGCCAGGCUUGAGAGCUAAUGCUGCCAAUUUCUUCCUUGGAUGUCUGAGCCA